AUCAAGAAUAUCCCCCAGAGUAAGAUCAUAGAGAUGACGAAUGAGUACCCAUGAUUCGACGUUACAAUGUGAGUCAUCAACAAUUUCCGGUCGGUCGUAAGGUUUUCCUGUUGGAAAACACCGAAAUAAAAAUUUUAGAGUAUAUUUUGUGUUAACUAUUUGAGACUUGUAUUAUUUGAACCUAUAAAUUGUGUUAACAAGUUGAACCUAUAUUUUAUUGCAUUUGGAUUGUGGUUUGUAUUGA